rnacentral:rRNA from 1 species
UACGGAGGGGGCUAGCGUUGUUCGGAAUUACUGGGCGUAAAGCGCGCAUAGGCGGCUUUGUAAGUUAGAGGUGAAAGCCCGGAGCUCAACUCCGGAACUGCCUUUAAGACUGCAUCGCUAGAAUUGUGGAGAGGUAAGUGGAAUUCCGAGUGUAGAGGUGAAAUUCGUAGAUAUUCGGAAGAACACCAGUGGCGAAGGCGACUUACUGGACACAUAUUGACGCUGAGGCGCGAAAGCGUGGGGAGCAAACAGG